GGGGCCAGGGCUCAGUGGCAGAGCACUCGCCUAGCAUAUGUGAGGCACUGGGUUUGAUCCUCAGCUCCA
rnacentral:tRNA from 1 species